GUUCCCAUGUGAAGGGGAAGGUGAAGAACCUUCGCCAAGGUUCGACAAAACCGUAGGUUUUGAACAAUGCCUAUGCAUUGGCCCGCAGGGCAAGGAGCGCAGCGACGCGUAAUCCUUCCCCCACCACCA
rnacentral:sRNA from 1 species